rnacentral:rRNA from 1 species
UGGGGAAUAUUGCACAAUGGGCGCAAGCCUGAUGCAGCCAUGCCGCGUGUAUGAAGAAGGCCUUCGGGUUGUAAAGUACUUUCAGCGGGGAGGAAGGGAGUAAAGUUAAUACCUUUGCUCAUUGACGUUACCCGCAGAAGAAGCACCGGCUAACUCCGUGCCAGCAGCCGCGGUAAUACGGAGGGUGCAAGCGUUAAUCGGAAUUACUGGGCGUAAAGCGCACGCAGGCGGUCUGUCAAGUCGGAUGUGAAAUCCCCGGGCUUAACCUGGGAACUGCAUGCGAAAAUGGCAGGCUAGAGUCUUGUAGAGGGGGGUAGAAUUCCAGGUGUAGCGGUGAAAUGCGUAGAGAUCUGGAGGAAUACCGGUGGCGAAGGCGGCCCCCUGGACAAAGACUGACGCUCAGGUGCGAAAGCGUGGGGAGCAAACAGG